rnacentral:rRNA from 1 species
CCUACGGGCGGCUGCAGUGGGGAAUAUUGCACAAUGGGCGCAAGCCUGAUGCAGCCAUGCCGCGUGUGUGAAGAAGGCCUUCGGGUUGUAAAGCACUUUCAGCGGGGAGGAAGGCGGUGAGGUUAAUAACCUCAUCGAUUGACGUUACCCGCAGAAGAAGCACCGGCUAACUCCGUGCCAGCAGCCGCGGUAAUACGGAGGGUGCAAGCGUUAAUCGGAAUUACUGGGCGUAAAGCGCACGCAGGCGGUCUGUCAAGUCGGAUGUGAAAUCCCCGGGCUCAACCUGGGAACUGCAUUCGAAACUGGCAGGCUAGAGUCUUGUAGAGGGGGGUAGAAUUCCAGGUGUAGCAGUGAAAUGCGUAGAGAUCUGGAGGAAUACCGGUGGCGAAGGCGGCCCCCUGGACAAAGACUGACGCUCAGGUGCGAAAGCGUGGGGAGCAAACAGGAUUAGAUACCCCGGUAGUC